UACGUAGGGUGCGAGCGUUGUCCGGAAUUAUUGGGCGUAAAGAGCUUGUAGGCGGUCUGUCGCGUCUGCUGUGAAAAUCCGGGGCUCAACCCCGGACUUGCAGUGGGUACGGGCAGACUAGAGUGUGGUAGGGGAGACUGGAAUUCCUGGUGUAGCGGUGAAAUGCGCAGAUAUCAGGAGGAACACCGGUGGCGAAGGCGGGUCUCUGGGCCGAUACUGACGCGGAGGAGCGAAAGCGUGGGGAGCGAACAGG
rnacentral:rRNA from 1 species